UUGCAGCAUAGGAACUUAGACAACCUUUAAUAUACAUAUAAACCUUGGGUCAUACCUGCGUCGUAAUAAUUCAUUAUUGAUUUUCACGAAGAAUUUUAUUUAAACUCAACUAAAGUUUUUAUUUUAUUACAUUAUAACUUUUUUACUCAUCACGUCACGUCUCAUGUCUCCUCCAUUUUGAUUUUUUGCGAAUUUAACGAUUUUUCUGGUUAUUGUAUAAAAUUUAAAUUUGUUCACUUUUUCAAAAAUUUUUCAACAUUUCAAAACGUUUUUUAAGAUGAUUACAUCUGUUAGCUUCGCCUGUUGACAUUUUCGGCUGAGGAUGGAGUUGUAAACUUCGAAACCGGUCCCGAUUAAAAUAUUUAUGCAAGUGCAAAGUUAACCUAUUUUGUUUUAUU